rnacentral:rRNA from 1 species
UACGUAGGGUGCAAGCGUUGUCCGGAUUUAUUGGGCGUAAAGAGCGUGUAGGCGGCCUGGUAGGUCUGCUGUGAAAACUCGAGGCUCAACCUCGAGAUGUCGGCGGAAACCAUCUGGCUAGAGUCCGGAAGAGGAGAGUGGAAUUCCUGGUGUAGCGGUGAAAUGCGCAGAUAUCAGGAAGAACACCGGUGGCGAAGGCGGUUCUCUGGGCAUUACCCAUGACGCUGAGGAGCGAAAGCAUGGGGAGCGAACAGG